AUGAAAAUCCUAAGCUGGAACUGUCGUGGGAUAGGCGAUCCCGCGUCAGUUCGAGAACUCCGCGAUCUAGUGGAGCUUAGUUCGUCUUCUAUCCUUUGCUUAGUAGAAACUCAAUUACAGAAGAGUCGUGUUGAAGGUCUUCGCUUUUCCAUAGGAUUCGAUUUCAGUUUUGGUGUUGGUAGCAAUGGUAGGAGUGGUGGCAUUUGUAUCUUUUGGAAGAACUCGGUGGAUGUUGCAAUUUUUUUCAGAGUAUCAUGUGGAUGCUUGGGUGCAAGAGCAGGGAAAGGAACAGUGCAGGUUAUCAUGUUUCUAUGGAGAAGCAACCCGGACCCUACGAUAUAA
rnacentral:rRNA from 1 species